UCUGUGGUGGAUAGUGGAGUGUUUCCCAUGUGGUAUUGGUGUGCUGGAUAUCCCUUCACUGGUAGCCUGGUAACAUACACUCCCAGGUCUUUCCCUGCCUCUGUGGUGGAUAGUGGAGUGUUUCCCAUGUGGUAUUGGUGUGCUGGAUAUCCCUUCACUGGUAGCCUGGUAACAUACACUCCCAGGUCUUUCUCUGCCUCUGUGGUGGAUAGUGGAGUGUUUCCCAUGUGGUAUUGGUGUGCUGGAUGUCCCUUCACUGGUAGCCUGGUAACAUACACUCCCAGGUCUUUCACUGCCUCUGUGGUGGAUAGUGGAGUGUUUCCCAUGUGGUAUUGGUGUGCUGGAUAUCCCUUCACUGGCAGCCUGGUAACAUACACUCCCAGGUCUUUCUCUGCCUCUGUGGUGGAUAGUGGAGUGUUUCCCAUGUGGUAUUGGUGUGCUGGAUAUCCCUUCACUGGUAGCCUGGUAACAUACACUCCCAGGUCUUUCUCUGCCUCUGUGGUGGAUAGUGGAGUGUUUCCCAUGUGGUAUUGGUGUGCUGGAUAUCCCCUCCCAAGGUGCAGGACUUUACAUUUUUCUUCAUUGAAUUGUAGCAGACACUUUUUGUUCCACUCCUGUAGCUUGGUGAGGUCUUUUGGUAGGAAAUCCACAGUCAAGGGGUUGAGGCGUUUACUUAAUAUUGGUCAUGCUUGUAUUUUGUCUCUCUAUAUUCAUACUAAUCCAACUUAUCCUAAAGCUUGUGAAUGAUCCUUACCCAAAGCAGCUUAAAAUUCAAGCUUGUAUUCUUAAAUGUUUCAGGGUUCUCACACACACACACACACACACACACGAUCAAGCUCUCACGAUUUUGUUUCUCUCUCUCUCUCUCUCUCAAGAAAAUGCACUGUCGUCUUUGUACUGUUUAUUUUUCUUCUCAGUCUUCAAGAAAUCACAAGAUCCUUUAAUAGUAAGAGUCCGGGUACAGUGAAGGACCUACCACCACCACCACCACUACCAUCAGCGACAGUUCAGACACUAUAGUCGGUUGACCCAAGUCUGGGGUGUGCAUUACUGGGAAGGAAGGAAGGAAGGAUAUCAAGGAAGGUCUGAGGGUGGAUGAAGGAACACUGGGAAGGAAGGAAGGAAGGAUAUCAAGGAAGGUCUGAGGGUGGAUGAAGGAACACUGGGAAGGAAGGAAGGAAGGAUAUCAAGGAAGGUCUGAGGGUGGAUGAAGGAACACUGGGAAGGAAGGAAGGAAGGAUAUCAAGGAAGGUCUGAGGGUGGAUGAAGGAACACUGGGAAGGAAGGAAGGAUAUCAAGGAAGGUCUCAGGGUGGAUGAAGGAACACUGGGAAGGAAGGAAGGAUAUCAAGGAAGGUCUCAGGGUGGAUGAAGGAACACUGGGAAGGAAGGAAGGAUAUCAAGGAAGGUCUGAGGGUGGAUGAAGGAACACUGGGAAGGAAGGAAGGAUAUCAAGGAAGGUCUGAGGGUGGAUGAAGGAACACUGGGAAGGAAGGAAGGAUAUCAAGGAAGGUCUGAGGGUGGAUGAAGGAAUACUGGGAAGGAAGGAAGGAUAUCAAGGAAGGUCUCAGGGUGGAUGAAGGAAUACUGGGAAGGAAGGAAGGAUAUCAAGGAAGGUCUCAGGGUGGAUGAAGGAACACUGGGAAGGAAGGAAGGAUAUCAAGGAAGGUCUCAGGGUGGAUGAAGGAACACUGGGAAGGAAGGAAGGAUAUCAAGGAAGGUCUCAGGGUGGAUGAAGGAACACUGGGAAGGAAGGAAGGAUAUCAAGGAAGGUCUCAGGGUGGAUGAAGGAACACUGGGAAGGAAGGAAGGAUAUCAAGGAAGGUCUCAGGGUGGAUGAAGGAACACUGGGAAGGAAGGAAGGAUAUCAAGGAAGGUCUGAGGGUGGAUGAAGGAACACUGGGAAGGAAGGAAGGAAGGAUAUCAAGGAAGGUCUCAGGGUGGAUGAAGGAACACUGGGAAGGAAGGAAGGAAGGAUAUCAAGGAAGGUCUGAGGGUGGAUGAAGGAACACUGGGAAGGAAGGAAGGAAGGAUAUCAAGGAAGGUCUGAGGGUGGAUGAAGGAACACUGGGAAGGAAGGAAGGAUAUCAAGGAAGGUCUGAGGGUGGAUGAAGGAACACUGGGAAGGAAGGAAGGAAGGAUAUCAAGGAAGGUCUGAGGGUGGAUGAAGGAACACUGGGAAGGAAGGAAGGAUAUCAAGGAAGGUCUGAGGGUGGAUGAAGGAACACUUGGAAGGAAGGAAGGAUAUCAAGGAAGGUCUGAGGGUGGAUGAAGGAACACUGGGAAGGAAGGAAGGAUAUCAAGGAAGGUCUGAGGGUGGAUGAAGGAACAGUUAACUUAUUAUUGAUAAGAUAUUUUAUAAGCAUACAAAGAAACGUGGCAUACAUAUUUUACAGUGUUGCUGAAAAAUGCUAUACUUAUUAUUGAGUUUCCCUUUCAUUUUGCGGUGUGUGAGUAGUUUCACAAUUAUAUUUAGAUUACAUCGUGAAGGAAUGUACACCAGGCAUUCGAUAUAUGUGAGUUCAAAAUAUGCAAAUUCGCUCAUAUGUGACUAACCUAAAUGUGCCAAGUAUUCGUUUUAUGCGAGAAAAAUUUGGUAUUAUGCGAAUAGUGGCGCUGGUGUGACUAUCUGGUGUGGUAUGGUAGCCGACUCACACUAGAGGGCGGUGAGGUAUGGUAGCCGACUCACACUAGAGGGCGGUGAGGUAUGGUAGCCGACUCACACUAGAGGGCGGUGAGGUAUGGUAGCCGACUCACACUAGAGGGCGGUGGGG